ACGGGGGGUGCAAGCGUUGUUCGGAAUUAUUGGGCGUAAAGAGCGUGUAGGCGGCUUGGCAAGUCAGAUGUGAAAGCCCUGGGCUUAACCCAGGAAGUGCAUUUGAAACUGCCUAGCUUGAGUAGGGGAGAGGGAAGUGGAAUUCCUGGUGUAGAGGUGAAAUGCUUUGAUAUCGGGAGGAACGCCUGUGGCGAAGGCGACUACCUGGGCCGAUACUGACGGUGAGUCGCGAGAGCGUGGGUAGCAAACCG
rnacentral:rRNA from 1 species